GGGUGGUUGGUGUAGUGGUAACACGCCGGUCUUCGGAACCGUCAUCGGGAGUUCGAUCCUCUCACCACCUG
rnacentral:tRNA from 1 species